ACCAAACAUACGUAUUUAAAAUAAUUUGUGGAGAAGGCUUUUCAAAGAUCAGAAUAGCUCAACUUGUAACUUUUGAUGCCAGAAAUAAUAUAUUAAAAUUUCAUCAAAUUUGGAAUAGAAUCAGCCAUCUGAUAGUCCGACAAAGAAGCCUAUAUUUUGAACCUUUUUUCUUUUACCCACUAUGCUGCCACUCUGGUUUCCGCAUUGGGCUUUUUCAUGUUUGGC
rnacentral:lncRNA from 1 species